rnacentral:lncRNA from 1 species
AAAAAUAUUUUAAAGAAAACGAAUCCAGUGAAACAAAAGAACAAAUAUUAAGGAUUCGUACUUUAAACAAUCCGGGUUCAAAAAUAUUUCAUAAAUAAUUAUAGUGGAGCAAAAUUCAAGAAUGAUCAAAACAUGGAUAUAAUCAAAGCUAGUAUACAUAAUAGAUAUUUUGGAUAAAAAAUGAAAAUUUAAUUUUUCUAUGAAUAGUGCUGUAUUCGUUAAUAGUACCGUAUACAUGAAUAGUGUCGUAUACGUGAAUAGUAACCCCGACACUAAAAGACAAGAAUUUCACAAGAAAAAUACUAUCAAUAUUCCGGCAUAAUGAUAUUGGAAGAAAAUAUCAUUUUUUAAAAAAUAAUAUCCCUUACCUCGAAAAGACAGUACUUCUUACUGAAAUACUGGAUAUAGUGCUGAAGGGAACUUGCACCGUAUAGCAACACUCAAACUAUCAAAAUACUCACAAGAAUACGCUCGAUAAUAUAGAGAGAGAAAGAGAGAGAAAACUUCAGUUUCU